UACGUGAGGGGCUAACGUUGUUCGGUGUCACUGGGCUUAAAGGGUGCGUAGGCGGCCAACUAAGUCGGAUGUGAAAUCCCCAGGCUUAACCUGGGAACUGCAUCCGAUACUGGAUGGCUUGAAUCCGGGAGAGGGAUGCGGAAUUCCAGGUGUAGCGGUGAAAUGCGUAGAUAUCUGGAGGAACACCGGUGGCGAAGGCGGCAUCCUGGACCGGUAUUGACGCUGAGGCGCGAAAGCCAGGGGAGCAAACGGGG
rnacentral:rRNA from 1 species